rnacentral:rRNA from 1 species
UUCUCGGGCGGGGAUUAGUGGCGAACGGGUGAGUAACACGUGGGCAAUCUGCCCUGCACUCUGGGACAAGCCCUGGAAACGGGGUCUAAUACCGGAUAUGACUGUCCAUCGCAUGGUGGAUGGUGUAAAGCUCCGGCGGUGCAGGAUGAGCCCGCGGCCUAUCAGCUUGUUGGUGAGGUAGUGGCUCACCAAGGCGACGACGGGUAGCCGGCCUGAGAGGGCGACCGGCCACACUGGGACUGAGACACGGCCCAGACUCCUACGGGAGGCAGCAGUGGGGAAUAUUGCACAAUGGGCGAAAGCCUGAUGCAGCGACGCCGCGUGAGGGAUGACGGCCUUCGGGUUGUAAACCUCUUUCAGCAGGGAAGAAGCGAAAGUGACGGUACCUGCAGAAGAAGCGCCGGCUAACUACGUGCCAGCAGCCGCGGUAAUACGUAGGGCGCAAGCGUUGUCCGGAAUUAUUGGGCGUAAAGAGCUCGUAGGCGGCUUGUCACGUCGGUUGUGAAAGCCCGGGGCUUAACCCCGGGUCUGCAGUCGAUACGGGCAGGCUAGAGUUCGGUAGGGGAGAUCGGAAUUCCUGGUGUAGCGGUGAAAUGCGCAGAUAUCAGGAGGAACACCGGUGGCGAAGGCGGAUCUCUGGGCCGAUACUGA